GUGGCCAUAGCUUAGUUGGUUUAAAGCGCUGCUCUGUGAAAGCAGAGAUCGCGGGUUCGAGUCCCGUUGGCCACC
rnacentral:tRNA from 1 species